AACCUUACGCUGUCGUGUGUGGUGUUGCGGUGGAUGGACUCCGUUGCGCGCCGUGGGUCAGUACCAUCUUCGGAUGGCUUUGGUUAAGAAUUUGCAAAGUUGAGAUGUUUUCUUGGUUGCUUUGGCUCUUGGGGAUGCGAGGCAGCAGCAUCAACAAGAGGCAAGUGGAGUUAGACGUGGCUUGGAGCUACAAGAGACAUACUUGUGUAUGGGAUGGAUCGUGCUGCUAUUUGGUACAGCGGACCGGCUUGGGCUGUCACCCUUGCCAGCGGAGAAGAUGGCGCAAGAUGAGAUAACGAUGAGGUCUAAAUGGUAGCCAUGCCUUGGAAGCCGAAAGACAAGAAGACACCAUGUUCCUUGCUCGAGCUGGGGCCUCUAUGCAACAGGUUAUAUGAGGCUGUGGUCGUCGUUUUUGCUGGCCUUUUCGGAUUGAGCUGCGCUGGUUGGCUGCAACAUAACUCUAGGGCUUCGUGACCGAACACCUGUGUCUUGAAUUCUGAAGGCUGGGAGUUUGACCAUUUUUAUCACUAGAGGUACUGGACAUUUAUAUGAUUGAUGAUAUCCAGAUCGUCUCUUUAUA